rnacentral:lncRNA from 1 species
GGAGAUGGACAUGGACAGGGGCUGAAACUGCAGUACCAGCAGAUGGGGAGCUUAAGAAGGAAGCUAGUUCAUGGCACAGCACCCGUAAAGUCCCCAGAAUUGGAGGCACCAGAUUCUUCUGAAAGAAAAGGAGCAAUUCAGCACUUGUCAUGCAGAUAAGAGGUCAACACCCCAGGACGGAGUGAAAACCUAAGGGUCAUCAAGACAGGAGGAUAUGAGGCAGAAUCACCACACAAGCUAACCUGAUGUACAUAUGACAUUAAUCCAAUAGACUUAGGAAUAAGAUACAGGGGGUUUUCCUGAAUGAUUCGAGUAUAUCCCCAUUCAUAUUAAGAAAACAAAGUAUUGGCCAAGCGUGGUGGCUCACGCCUGUAAUCCCGGCACUUUGGAAGGCCGAGGCCAGUGGAUCACCUGAGAUGGACUCAACGACUCUCUUACCGUCCAGCUCUCAAGUCCCUUCUCUUGUGAAAAUGGAAAAGUUGAACUACAGUUGAGAUAUUAUUCCCAGGUGUUCUUUGGAACACAGGGGAUUUCUCCAAAAGGCACAGAACAAAUUGCCUCCAAACAGCCAAGAUUCCAGCAGAAGCUGGAGUAGCAGACUACUUGGAUCUUCAAAGUACCUGGCCCUGAGUCAGUUAAGGAAGAUCUUUUCUUCUCUUUUGUACAAUCCUAUGAUGAGAGCUGCAAAGUGAACUGACUAAGAGCUUCUGCCUUGAUCAUUGACCUCCCAAUCCUAAUAAUAUGUUCACUGGCCAAACUUCCUAAUCGAUUUGUCUUUUGGAUAUAACGUUCCUCCUACUGUUUGCCUGAUUGAGAAAUCUGCUACAGAACAUGACCGGUUAGCAUUCCCACCAACCCCAGUGCUACACUGACUGUCUUUCGAUGGACUUUGCUCCUUGCUGCCUCUCUGAGGUCCCAGACCUUCAGAGUGACCUUCACAGCUCUGCCUAACUUUCUGUCAUACUUCUAUCAAGAGAGACAGCUAAAUCAAUAUUUUUAAUGUGCUUUGCUGUCGGAAUUCGAUGAUCUGUCACAGUUCUUGCCCAAUACACCCCAUCAUUAUUGUUAAAAUGUUUUUAGCUUUGUUUGUAGAAUUGCUUUAACUGGUUUCAUCUCUGGGAGCUACACUUUGAAAUAUAACUUUAGCAACAUUUUACUAUACUUUUUCACAACCCAGAGCAGUACUAUUUUAUGCUUAGUGGUUAAACUAAUUCCAUAAAUCUUUUGCAACUAUCCUCUAUUCUUUUUCUUGUAAUUUUUACCUGGGAAGGUUUUUACUGAUAAUCAUCCUAUCCUGAGUCAUCCCACAAACCAAUCUGUCUCACUAAUCAUUGCUUCUAACCUACAGACUAAGCAUAACUUCUGCUAAAUGAUCUUUGAUAAGAUGCUAUGACUCUAUAAAGUCUUUGAUAUUCAUGUCUAAAUUUAAUCACUUGUAGAUUUUCAUAGAAUCAAUCUUUCACUUCUACAAUUGGGAGUAUUUAUAAGUUGUUUAUCUUAAACAGUUCCUCUAUCACGCUUUUCACGUUAAAUAAAGCAAUCCCUUCAAAUCAAUUUUCUGUCAUGUCUAAGAUGU